rnacentral:lncRNA from 1 species
AGUCACAGGCGCGCCUCCGCGUCGCUGCCUCCAGGGACUCUCCCGGGAGAGACCCGCGCGCUCCCGGGUUCGGGGAAGUCGCGAUAGACGCCAGCUCGAAUGCCGCCUCCCGUCUGCUCCUGGUUGGGAUCCUGUCUUCAAGUGCAACAGCCAAGCCAGCUGCCCACUCCUCUGUGUCCUCUUAGAUUGUGCUCUGGGUGUGUGUCUUCUCUGCUGGAUUAAGGAGCUCACUGGAGUGGAGGUGACUGCAGUCAGCAAAACACUCAGGAAAUGAUUGCUGGAGAAGAGUGGGGAAGGGACCCCACAUCUCCCCUCUGCCUGCCCUCCCUUCUGCCUGCACCUUGCGGCCUCUCUUGCAGUGAGAUGUGGCCGUGGGACUAGAUUCCUGCCCAUGGGAAUGUAAGGAAGUGCCGUUUCUGGAUAUGGGACUCAUGUCUCUGUGUAGGACUCAUCUCCUCCAUACUCUUUCCCCUUCCCCUGGCUGGAAGCAGGGGAAGGCAAGUGAAUUCAGUCACGUAGACAACAAGAAAGCCAUGGGGAUGGGGGAGCUACACGGGAAAGGGACUUGGGUUUCUGAGUGACUGUGUGGAGCUGAGCAGCCCUCACUACUUGGAACUCCCUGUAAGACAGAAAGAAACUUCUCUGGUCUAAAGCCACAAGGACUUAGCUUUACCCCAAGAACAGAGCACACCCAGUGGAGCACUACGUCUAAGAAGUGUGAGCACCCACAGCAUGGAGUGUGCCAGAUUGGACAACAGACAUUUCCUAAGAUUGAGUGACUUUAGGAGAGCAGGGAGUGCCUGGCUCAGGCAAGGUGGCACCUUUGGGGGUCCCAGGUGGCAGACAGAGCUUCGCCCAGGUCGAACUGUGCAUGGGCCCAGGGUGCUGGCCAGAGGUGGGGCGGCUGGAGUUCACAGGCCAGGCAGCCAAGGGGUUGGUCUGGCAAGUGGUCUGCCACCAUGGACCCAGGCCUCAGACCAAACAGGCUGCUAAAGACACGGGUCCUCAAAUCAUCUGCAGGCAGGGUCUGGCCUGGGCCCCAGGAGUCCACAGGCAGGGAGCACCCUGGGGAAGAGCUGAGGAUGCUGCAUCAGAAAAGAGGAGGACUCAGCUUUAAGAAACAGUGAAGCCUUUGAAGAAGGAAGUCUCCCAUUUAUCCUACUCUAGGAAGGACCUUUACAUGCUCCAUGCAUUCAAUGUUUACAAUAACAAAAGUGGCUCUGAUGUUUCCUGUUGUGCAAGAGAAGGUGAAGUCAAGAGAUAUUCGGUGACUUGCCCCAGUCCUCCUUCCCAGGAAGUGGCCAAGGGGUCUUUACAGGUUGAUGUAAGAUUGGCCCUGUGCAGUUCCCAGGAGGUCUGGGGUAAGAGUGGAUGGGCCAAGGCCCUGCGGGGCCACAUUCUCCUGAUGGGACUCGUGUGGCCAGACUCUGCUCCUGUCACUUGGAGACUGUGUAGUGGCCAUCUCCACUCAUCCUGGGACUGGUGCUAUGAAGUUGCCACCAAGAAGGAUGUUUCCCUUUUCUUCCUCCCCACACCCACUUCCCCACAGGGUGUGGUGGCAGCAGGUGCCUCUUCUGCAUGGCCAGGGUCCCCCAUCGCUCACAGCUGUCAGUGUGCACAUGCUCAGACCUGCACCAUUCCUGUCCAGCCCCUGCAGUUACCACCUGGAAUCUUCAGCCAGGACUUGGAGGCUGUGAGGUCAGUCGGGAAGUGGAUCAGGAGGCCACCCCCUUCUGUGGCACUUCUGAGAUGACAACUUGUUUCACAGUUGGAUGGGGGUGGGGAAGGAAAGAGCGGCCCCAUUAUUCCAGAACAUUUUAUCCACACAGGCUCAGACACCCUGUGAUGAAGAGUCCAAGAACAGCCUGAGAUAAGGAUGUCAUUCUUCUUUCACAGGCCCCACGAUGGGUUUAUCUUUUGGGACCAAGACAUUGGGUCCCUACAUGUUUUCCCCUACCCUUCUUAGGAAAUAAAAUAUCAAACAACCCACA